CGGCUGGAAGGACGGCCCCCGUGCUCUGACACAGUCACACAGACACACACACACACACACCUCCACGAUGUGUCACUAGCCAAACAUCCACCUGCCUCUUCCCCGUCAUUCCCCGCUCUCCUUUCCAUCUACCAACGCUUUGCUCUUUUCCCUCCUUUUUUCUGUUACUCACCCUAAGUCAUUCUGUCCACUCUUCAUCCCCCCCCCACCCCUACGCUCUGUGUCACCGCUACCGGGGAAGAAAAGAAAAGAGUCGAAAGAAAAAUGCUCCGUCCGACAAAAAGUAAGAAGAGAAAACGAAGGGAAAAGAGUCGAAAGCCGGAGUGUGUUUGGAGCACAGCGAUGCCUCCUCUGCCACCGUGACUCUUCUUCUUUGAUGGAAUAUCCCGGACAGCGGAGGGAGGAAAGGACGACUGAAGGAAGAAUCAAAAAGGACAGAAGAAGGCAGGACAACCAGAAGGCUCCAUCCAGACUCCAUCCAAGUCUCAUUGUCCUCACACACACACCUCGUCCUCCGAGUGUGAGCGUGCACAAGAGUGUGUGCGUGUGUGUGUGUGUCAUUCCUACACCAGCAGCAGCAGCAGCAGCAGAAGCAGCGGAGCACCGGGAUCCACUCUGAGCUUUACGUGGAUGCGGUGCGUCCGAUAGGCCAUGCCCUUCACCUGGGCCUGCUUCUGCGGCCUGAAGGGCUCCUGCUGCCGACGAGAGAAGAAGAAAAAGCAGCAAGAGGAAGAGCAGGUUGAGGAGGCGGAGCGAGGCAGGGAUCGUGAAACUGAGGUGUGGUAGUGGUGCAGCCUCUCCUCACCUUCACCACGGUCUUAUUCUUUAACAGACUCAAAUAUACCGCCUGUGUGUGUUACUGCUGCCCAGCAACGACUGUCUGAUAUUAUACAUGUAGGUACUAUAGAGUGGUGCAGAAACAAGUCAUCCAACCUGGAAAUUACUUAGCUAUUUAGCACUUCCGGUUCCCUUGAAUGGAUUUUUGUGUCGUGGCUAAAAGGUCUGUGGUUAAAACACACCUAAGAGAUUUUCCCACGUUGGUCUACGACUUAAAAUGUCUCAGUGAAUACUCCACUGGUGAAUAUCCAAAGCUUUUAUGUGUCAUAAAUACAGCGGUUGUCUAAAUAUACGACUACACAUCAUCACGCCAAACAUUAGCCGCCUUUAGCUUAGCAUUAUGCAACCACAAUGUCGUUUUUUUCAUAGCCUAGCAUUAGCUUCGUACUUCUGCCGAUGACAAAGUAGUGUUAACACGUGGAGAUUAUCCUGCUGAACCAAAACGAGAUGAGUGUAUGUUUGCCACAGAGCUUAUGUUCUGCAAUUCAUUGAAAUCCAAUGGAAAAAUCCCAUUGCUUUUUGUCGAGGGGCCUCUUAGCGAUGCGUCUUUUGGAUUGGUUUAAAAAUGCGUGAUCACUGCACCACUCUAUAACAGUGAAGGGGCUUCAGAAAGCACAGGCUUUUAUUGUGAAUAUGUACUAAUAUGUGACGGGUAGUAUCUUUGACUUCAUGUAUUUUAACACUUUUUAAUCUGUAAAAAUGUAAUAAAUAUCAAAAUAAA